rnacentral:ncRNA from 1 species
GUCGUGAACAUCUAAGAGAAGUCAGCAGAGGCCAUAGUAGUCAACAGGACUUGAGCUUUGUAAAUACCAAGGAGUUCUCACGAGUUGAUAAAGGGC